rnacentral:rRNA from 1 species
CAGUCGCCGCGGGAAUACGAAGGGUGCAAGCGUUACUCGGAAUUACUGGGCGUAAAGCGUGCGUAGGUGGUGGUUUAAGUCCGUUGUGAAAGCCCUGGGCUCAACCUGGGAAUUGCAGUGGAUACUGGGUCACUAGAGUGUGGUAGAGGAUAGUGGAAUUUCCGGUGUAGCAGUGAAAUGCGUAGAGAUCGGAAGGAACAUCUGUGGCGAAGGCGACUAUCUGGGCCAACACUGACACUGAGGCACGAAAGCGUGGGGAGCAAACAGGAUUAGAGACCCCUGUAGUCCCUGUCUCUUAUAA